rnacentral:rRNA from 1 species
GUCUUUUUGAGUUAUUUUUAAAGUCUGACCUGCCCACUGAAUAUUUUUAAAUGGCCGCAGUAUUCUAACUGUGCAAAGGUAGCAUAAUCAUUAGUCUUUUAAUUGAAGGCUGGUAUGAACGGUUGGACGAAGUAUAAGCUGUUUCAUAUAAAAUUAUAUUAGAAUUUUAUAUUUUAGUUAAAAAGCUAAAAUAUUAUUAAAAGACGAGAAGACCCUAUAAAUCUUUAUAUUUAAUAUUAUUCAAAUUUUUUUGAUUAAUUUUAUUUUUAUAAUAUUAAAUAUUUUGUUGGGGUGAUAUUAAAAUUUAACAAACUUUUAAUUUUGAAUUAGAACAUUAAUUUAUGAAUAGUUGAUCCAUUAUUAAUGAUUAUAAGAUUAAGUUACUUUAGGGAUAACAGCGUAAUUUUUUUUGAGAGUUCAUAUCGACAAAAAAGUUUGCGACCUCGAUGUUGGAUUAAGAUAUAUAUUUAGGUGUAGCCGUUUAAAUAUUAAGUCUGUUCGACUUUUAAANUCUUACAU